AAAACUCUAACUUUGCCUUCCUGCUUUUUAACUUUUUGUUGUUUCUGUUUAUAUCUUAUUGCACAGUCUGUGUCUUGAAAAGCUGUUGUAGGUAUUAUUUUUGAUUGUUUUAUCUUUUAGUCUUUCUAGUUAAGAUAAGAGUCCUUUAUGCACCACAGCUACAGUCUUAUAAUACUCUGUGUUUUUUCUGUGUACUUACUAUUACCAGUGAGUGUUGUACCUUCGGAUGAUUUCUUACUGCUCAUUGACAACCUUUUCUUUCUGACUGAAUCACUUUCCCUCAAAUUCACUUAGGGACCCAGAGCACUCCACCCUGCAGUGGCAAGGCUUGCUGGAACUCAAGCCCUGACCACUGAAAUGGGUGAUUCCGCUCUGGUUAGGGCCAGUCCAACUGCUUCCCCUAUGGAUGGGUCAGCUGGGGACAGCCCAGUUCCGCUUUCUGCUGUGACAAGUGAGCAGUGAAUUCAAUGCAAAGCCUCACAAUUGCUGCGCUUUCCCCCUCCCAACUCACAGACUCUCUGUCCACAUGGUUGCUGCUGGGGGGGGUGGGGGAGGGGUGGCAUUGGCAAUUCAAGACUGUCUUUCCUUCCCUCUUCAGUGCCUCUUUCAGCGAUAUGAAGUCAAAACCAGGCACUGUGAGUGCUCACCUGAUUUUUGGGUCCUAGGAAGGCACUCCCUUUGUGUAGCUAGUUGUCAAACUUGGUGCUCCUGUUGGAGGGAUGAUUGGUGGCACUCUUUAUUUGGCCACCUUGCUCUGCCCUUCCCAGAAGAUUCUCUUGUGUAAGCCCAGGGACUUGUGAAUCCUUUCAACUCCAGGUGGAUAGGUUCUACCCCAUGGCUGCCUAAUUCUGCCCCUUUUCAGCAGGAAGUAGCCAGAAUGGAUGCAUCACCUGUUUUCCAUAGAAAUGGAAUGGAGUUUG
rnacentral:lncRNA from 10 species